rnacentral:rRNA from 2 species
UUGGACCUGAUAUCAGGUAAGACUACCCGCUGAACUUAAG